AACACAGGUAAGAAAAAUAAAACCCUUGCUUUACUAGACUUUAUCCCAUUGCGCAACCACUAACCUCUAUUAAUUUGGUGGCUAAUAGCACAGACAAUGGACAGAUCUUACCCAUGGAUGCCAAGACUUUUGGGAAUCUGGAUCAUCCGUACGGAGGAGCGGGGAGAGGCACGCGUAAAAGAAGCCAUGCGAGGAAACCGCUCGUGAGACCCAACCCCCUGGCACUGUUCUGGCAUGUUCCAGAAGCUUCCGGUGCUUGGCUGCUGGAAUUCCUUUUGAAAUUGGGCUAUACGAGCUAGGGGUUUAUGAAUUUCGGUUUAUUGUUGGAUUAAAAAAUGUAAAUGGACUGGACUUUUAAAUUAUUUUAGUUUUAUUUUUAUUUUUUUUUGUUUCAUUUUUUGGUUUUGGUUUUGGUGUAAGCCCGGGCACAAAUUGGGUCUUACAAUAGAUUUUUAGUGUUGUGUUGUGCCAUGCAAGGGAUGUGGUGUGACAAACGUCGACAAUCUGCCCAAGCAAUUCAGGGUUAUUUUUGUCUGUGUAAUCAUCCUUAUACGAAGACAUAGGGCAUGUUGAAGACAUAAUUUGGGCUACCAACAUCUCUAUAAAUAAGAGGUUAGCGGUUUGAUAUAACUAAA